AGAGAGAGAGAGAAAGGGGCCAGCGAGAAACUUUGGAUUGCGUUUGGAAUCACUUUAAGUCUUGUGUUCUUUUCUAUCAAUCUUUCCCGCUUC